AACGGCCAUAUCACGUUGAAACGCCGGUUCUCGUACGAUCACCGAGGUUAAGCAACGUCGAGCCGGCCCAGUACCUAGAUGGGUGACCGCUUGGGAUUAGCAGGGGAUUG